CAGGGGAUCCACUCCCCAUAAACACCGGAAGCACCGAAUCCGUGAUUCAAAGAAAACUCGAUACGUAGUUCAUGGUUGCAGAUAUUUUCUUCUCUCUCUUCAUCUUUACGAGUUCAAUCACUUCUGCCUAAAGACUUUAGCUCAACAUUUCCCCUUUAUCGGGAAACCGCGAUUAUGCUUCGAGAUAUUCAUUCGCCAUCGCUCUUUAGAUGUUGAAAGUAUCUCGAAGAAGCGGAUGGUUCUCGUCUGCUUUCUCCUUUCGCAGCUUCAAAGUUCUUGGCGUGGUUCCAAGCCUGUCAUAUUACGAAAGGAUAUAUGAUUAUUGAAGCUACGAGGACUGUUUCACCUAUACGUAAGGCUAGUCUUUUUUGGGAUGGGCUCUCCUGUUUGCCUGAAACAUUGCUUUUGGAUGGGAGAUGAAAAAUACUAUUAAAGUGGAACCAAAUCAUUGGAAACUAGUUUGAAAUGAAGUGAAGUUAUCUGGUGAUUCAGCAAUGAGGUUGAUGCCACCAAAUGUCAGAUCUUUAUGAAACAGGAUAUGGACCUCGUAUACAUCAGCACAGGCAUCCACACAUGCAUAAUGUACAGUAAAAAACCAGUUUCUGUGAUUUUGGAGGUCUCUAAUGUUCAAUCCAGCAAGUUCCUCUCCCAAAAGUUUCCUGCAACCGCAACAACAGAGGCAAGUCAUUUCAGGUGAAAGAUGAGAGGUAUUGCUAUUUUUCGGAGUCCAGGUGCCUAUAAUCCUACUAACUGAAUUUCAUUUAUAUGCAUGCAUGUAUACACAUUUGUAAUGCAUUCUCCAUUUCUCGCGUUCCUAUAACAAUGUGUGUAUAUGUAUCUUCCACAUGUUUGCCGCAUUAUCCAUGUCUCGAGUUUCUAUAACAAGAGACACUUUGCAAAAUUAUCUAGUGUGUGACUGAGAUGAUGCACUAUGUA